rnacentral:lncRNA from 1 species
ACCCAUUAGUAGGUGUUGAAUUUCUUCUUGCUUGGUAUUCUUUUCUUUUUCUUCUUCCUACAGAAUUUCUUCAAAAAGUUAAUCGAACCAAGCACAUGUUUCCAUGUAUCAAUCAUAGGAACUUUAAUCUCCAAUUUCUUAAAGAUCUCCAUAAAGCACUUGAACUUCUUUUCCUUCCUAUGAUUCUUCUUUUGAUGAGGAAGAGGCUUUUCAUAUGAUCUUUUCUUCCUUCCCUUCUUCCUCCUUUUCUCGAUCUUCUCCUUCCUCAACUUUCUCUUUUCCUUUUUUUUUUAUUUU